rnacentral:rRNA from 1 species
CCCUUAGAUGUCCGGGGCUGCACGCGCGCUACACUGAAGGAAUCAGCGUGCUAAAACCAUUGUCGAAAGGCAUUGGUAAACCCAUUAAAAUCCUACGUGAUUGGGAUCGGGAAUUGCAAUUAUUUCCCUUGAACGAGGAAUUCCCAGUAAGUGUGGGUCAUAAGCUCGCGUUGAUUACGUCCCUGCCCUUUGUACACACCGCCCGUCGCUGCCCGGGACUGAGCCGUUUCGAGAAAAGCGGGGACUGCUGCUGUCGGGGCUUUCGGGCCUUGGCUUCGGUGGAAACCGCUUUAAUCGCAGUGGCUUGAACCGGGCAAAAGACGUAACA